UACGAAGGGGACUAGCGUUGUUCGGAAUUACUGGGCGUAAAGCGUGCGCAGGCGGUUUGUUAAGUCUGAUGUGAAAGCCCCGGGCUCAACCUGGGAACUGCAUUGGAAACUGGCAAGCUCGAGUAUGGCAGAGGGGGGUGGAAUUCCGCGUGUAGCAGUGAAAUGCGUAGAGAUGCGGAGGAACACCGAUGGCGAAGGCAGCCCCCUGGGCCAAUACUGACGCUCAGGCACGAAAGCGUGGGGAGCAAACAGG
rnacentral:rRNA from 1 species